CGCUUAACGGAAUGAACCACCCAGGCGCCCCCCUGCCCUGCGCCUCAUUGACCCUGUUUUGAAACGUUGGGUGGCUAUUUGUCCACAUGUAGGCUUUUUUUUUUUUCCUUCAGCACAGGGAUUUUAAUUUGCCAUAAAGGCUGUUAUUGGAACAACUAGCAAAAUCUGAAUAAGGUUUGUAGAUUAGAUAAUAGUAUUAUGUCAAUGUUCAUUUCCUGAUUUUAAUAAUUAUAUCAUGAUUAUGUAAGAGACUGGCCUGUUUUUAAGAAACAUACAUGGAAGCAUUUAAGGACAAAGGGACAUCAUGUCUUCAAACCCAAAAAGGUUCAGAAAGGUGUGCGUGUGUGUGUGUGUGUGUAUAAAAUAACCAUGGUACAUGUUAACAUUUGGAGAAUUUUUUAAAUGAAACUGUUUUUUCUUUGUUUUUCAACAGCUUUCUUGAGCUAUCAUUGACAUAUAAAAAUUGUACGUAUUUAAGGUAUACAACUUGAUGUUUUGAUAUAUGUAUGCAUUGUUCAAUGAGCACCGCAAUUAAGCUAAUUAACAUAUUCAUCACCUGUAUAGUCACCAUCUGUGUAUUGGGGGCAGAUUUGGGGGGGGGUUAGAAUAUUUAAAAUUUAUCCUCUUAACAAAUUUCAGGUAUACAAUACAGUUUUGUUGAUUGUCAUCACCAUGCUGGACAUAAAGUCUUGAGAACGUAUUCAUCUUGCAUUACUGAAACUUGGUACCCUGUGCCUACGUAGCAGUCAAAUAUGGCAGCUGGGACAGGGGCUGGGGAGCCCAGCUUCCUGGUUCAAAUUCUGCUGCCACUAUUUACCAUGAGUUUGGGAAAAUUAACCUCUGAUUCUUUAUCAACAAAAUUGGAUAAUUAUAAAAUCUAUUUCUUAGUAGCGUUGGGAGGCUUAAAAGAGAUGGUAAAGGACUUAAAGCUAUUGGAAAGAAAGUAACUACUAGCUGUUACUGUAAUUAUUACUAACAUUAAAAGUAGUAAGUAUGGUAUAGUAGAAAUAACCCACUACAGUUAAACCUCUACAUUAAAUCUUUGGGACUUAAAGCCAAAAUACUUUUUUCUGCUGCACUGUUUAAGACCAUAGCAUCCUUAUCUCAUCUGGCCCAUCUGAUAAGGUAAGAGCUUUUUAGCAAAAAACUUACUAUGCUAUAAGAGGUGAUCAAUAAACGCAGGAGGGUUUAUUGUUUACCAAAUAAGCUAGUCUGAAGAACGUAAAGAUCCACAUUUGCCUACCUGAGUUGAAGCCAGAAAUCUGUCUGUCCUGCACUAAUAACCUGACCACAAGAUUCAAUGGCAGGAGGGAGCUGGUACACUAAUGUGAGGCAAAGGAGGACAAAAAGAAACAGAAGAGACAGCUGAUCUGAGACCUGCCAUGAUAGGAAAAGAACAUUUUGUAUCGUUCUUUAGACUCUAUAUGUAUUCACAAGAGGCUAAGAGAGAAGUUUUUUUCCUGACAGUGGGCUCUACUGUGAUGAAAGGAUUAUGCACAUCUUCUGCCCCCAGGGCCAUGCACUUUAUAUUUCACCUUCCUAUACCCCUCAAAUUGUUCUACAUUGACAACCACCUGCAGGUGAGCCUGGCCCAGCCCUUCCCACCACACACUGCUGUUCACACCUGGAGGCCACUGGGGCACAGAGUAACCUGGAACCAGGAGGCCCCAGCUUCCCAGUGUGGUUGCUGAGCUGCAAUUGAGCGGACACACAUUACUGAUUUCUCCGGAAAAGACCCAGGUCAUCUGUCCGAGAUUCUUCCAGUGGACACCAAUCUCCAAAGCAAGGCUUUUGGGUCAGUGGUUCCCAAGACUGCCUUUGUAUCAGAAUCAUCUGGGGAGCAUAAUAAAGUACAGAUUCUCAGCCUUCCCCUCACAUCUGUGGUCUCAGAAUCUUUUGGGAUGAAGCCUGGAAAUCUGGAUUUAGAGAAUUUUCCAGGGAAGUCCACAGAUUCACAUGGCCUACAGUUGAUCAAGAAACAGCAGUAUGUGAACAUUCUUUAAAGAUACUGAGGU